UCGGCCUUUCAGAGGCUUUGGCUUAUGGGCUGUUGCCUGAGCUGCCUGCCAUGCACUCAUCUUGCAUUCUUUUCUGGUGGAUAGAAGAAUGACCAGCUGGUUUUCUUUGGCACCUGCUCCUCCAGAGGAACUGCAAGAAGAGGUGGAUCAAACCGCUGCAGUGUCUUUGAACUCCUCCAAGGCUGGCAUCGUGGGAGCCUGGGCUGUCAUAAUGGGGAUAGUGGUGACACAUCAAAGCCUGCACCCUGAACCCGGCUUUCUGAAGAUCCUGGGCAUUUUCACGCCCCUUGGCUGCCCCAGUAGUGCAUAGAAUAUAUCCAAAACUGGUUGGCUGAGUGGUACUAAACUCUGCUCUUUUCUUUUCUUCCCCUAGUUUUAGUCACGGAGUACCUGCUGAGGCAGAAAGAGAGGAAGGUUAUUUCAUCAGAGCGGAGGUUCUAUUGCUAAUUUUUCAUUCUCCAGGGGACCUGGGAAAGGGAUUUUAAGUGAAAAUGGAGCACAGAGGAUGAGCCUUUUGUACCUGAAAAGCAGAACUGACUGACCAUUCACUAAGGUGGUAUUAACUGUAUAUACCUGGAGCCUAGAUUUCAUUUUUUAAAAACACCCUCUUCACCUCUUGGUCCCUAGCAUGUAACAGUGAGUCUGUUGGGUCUGCGCUGGCUGGAUUGCCACCUCAUUCCUCUGAGACAGGUUCCCAAAAUCCACAUCCUGCAUCUCUGAGUCACACUAAUACCCAAGCUGGCUGGUUUCACUCACAGCAGAGCAUGCCUUUAUUUUCUAUGCUUCCAGAUUUUUGCAUGGGGCUGCAGGGCCUUAGAGAAGCACUGCUUUGGUGAGCAUGCCUGCCGGAGCCUGUGAGGACCAUCCCCACCCUUCCCGUCUCUCUUACCAGAUAUACCAACUGCGCAUGCAAGUUCUGUAGCUAUGACAGUCCAGAUCUUACACACCCUCUGUCCCCACCACCACUCCACCCCUCCUUUGUUUUUAAUGAUUUCUCUCUGAUCUUUAAGCGUCCUUGAGGGGUGAAUGUUUUUAUUUUCAGUUACUUCAAGUUCUGGUAAGCACACUGCCACCAUCUUGGGUGUGGCAUGUUGCACACAUGAAAUGCAAAGCCUCCAACUUGUUUCUACGGGGAGUCAGCAGCUGUAUUCUGGGAGCCCUUGAAGCUGGAAGUUGACCACAUGUGCAGAGCAGUGGCAUGGCCAGGGCAUGACCAUCCUCAAAACAAAGAGCACCAGGGGCAAGCCAGAUUAAGAAGGUGCUACAACCCAGAAAAACAUGAAGUCCCUAGACAAUCCGGGAGAUGGGUUGCUAGGCAGCAGGGUUGAAAUUGACAUCAUCCUUUCCAGGUGUAUAAAUAAACAAGCCACAUUGGUUGAGCAUUUCUUUCCUCCCAUCAGGAGGAUAAGGGCUCCAGCUUUGUCUGGCCUUUAUUUUCUCAUCCUCCCGUAGUCCUUCACCUCAAGAACCUCAAGGGCCACAUAGGUCCCUGCAACUGUAAAGAUCACCACAUCUCACAAGGAAGCACGAGCUGCGUGCUUGGAUCUGGAGACCUCAGCAGCACAGCUACCUGUUUCAGAUGAUAACUAUACCUAUCGAAAGAACUCCAGAAUUCACUCAAGAAAGGCUGAAUAUAAGUGAAGGUGCAUUUCUCUGCCUUUGCCAGGAACACAAGUGUAAAGUGUGCUUGAUCUGUGCUGGCCAGACCCAAGUUCUUCCUGCAUCCGUAAGAGGUGUCUGUCCCCCUUUCUUCUGUGUAUACUGAGGGUGCACGGGCAGAGGCCACCAGAAGAGGAAUCUCAAAACACAGACCACCACCACCCCGGCACCUCUCCCUCGACAGGAAAGAGCACCUGUGUGGAUUUUAGGUCUGGAAAUGAACCCCUCAGGCUGUCCCUGACUCUGUACCCUGUGGAAGGUCUUCAUGCCACCAUCUCUGCCACACUGCCAGUUUCACUGUGAAGCCCAUGUGGCACUCAGCCUGAUGGAGACGGGGCUGAACUCGGGGACCUCGGCUGUGUUGGAAAAGCUCCUAUUCACAAUGCCCUGAAGUCAAGAUGACACCACAGCGGAGGCAGCCGAGGACACCGGCUGCUGGCACCCUCUGUUCCAGAGCAACAGAGCUGCCAACCUUAGAGAUCAGACGGUUCUCUUAACUGGCAAAAUGUAUACUUGGAGAAGUCUUUGAACUGACUCCCAAGGUCCUGCUGGGUUCCCACUCUGGCCUCAGUGUCCCCUUCCUUUGUUUGAAAACCAAAUAAAUAAGGUUGCCUGGAGAA